rnacentral:rRNA from 2 species
CACGCAGGCGGUUUUUUAAGUCAGAUGUGAAAGGUACCGGCUCAACCGGUGACAUGCAUUUGAAACUGAAAGACUUGAGUAUUGGAGAGGCAAGUGGAAUUCCUAGUGUAGCGGUGAAAUGCGUAGAUAUUAGGAGGAACACCGGUGGCGAAGGCGGCUUGCUGGACAAAUACUGACGCUGAGGUGCGAAAGCGUGGGGAGCAAACA